rnacentral:rRNA from 1 species
UACGGAGGGUGCGAGCGUUGUCCGGAAUCACUGGGCGUAAAGGGCGCGUAGGUGGCGCGGCAAGUCAACGGUGAAAGCUCGACGCUCAACGUCGAGUCGGCCGUCGAUACUGCUGGGCUCGAGCACUGUAGAGGCAGAUGGAAUUCCGGGUGUAGCGGUGGAAUGCGUAGAGAUCCAGAAGAACACCGGUGGCGAAGGCGGUCUGCUGGGCAGUAGCUGACACUGAGGCGCGACAGCGUGGGGAGCAAACAGG